CAAAAACAAAAAAGAAAAGACAUCCUGAGUGCAGCUUGAGAAAGAUCAAUGCAUUGCUCUUCACCCGCCUAUGCAGCACUCCUGGGAAGACAGGAAGCUUUCAUCAGCUGUUUCCUCCCUUUCUGCUGAUCUUCCUCCCUCUCUUCCUCCAAUCUAUUUUAUUGAAGGGGCAGAUGAAUAAAACAUUGGCCAAGCUCUGUGAUAAAAUUCAAGGGUCCCUUGCCUUGGAGGAGCAUGACACCGGUGUAAAGGUCAAAAAGAUAAUUUAAAAGGAAUGGAAUGGUACAUGCAGGACAUGAGUUCAGAUAACAGGGAGUUUUUGACACUUGCCUAGGAAAUAA